GCAGAUGGGGGAAGCCGAAAGGAUGUUUCCUAUUCCGAUCAGACUCAUCAGACUCAUCCUGGCUGCUGCUACAGCUUUUCCGGAGCUAAUCUCUCCAGCAAAGAGGGAAAAUUAGCCUCAUUUUGUACUAGGCUAUUUCCAUUUUAAAAGUUCCCCAAAGAUCUACAGGUUUCACAGUGAUGCACUCACUUAGCACUCGCUCUCCAAAAGGGAGGCAGUUAUGUAAAAGGAAUCGGAAUGCCAGGCUUUGUGUCAGAAAUCUCAAGUCUGUGCCUUUUUGUCCCAGCUCUCUGUUAAUGAGUCGUCUUGCUUUGUGCAAAUCACUUGACCUUUUUAAACUCAUUUUCCGUAUCUGUAGACUAGAGGCACCCAUGCUUGUUAUCACCAAGAUAAAAUCUCAAAGUGAAUGGGAAGCACUUUGUAGACUGCAGUAUGCUCUAUAUUAUCAUGUGUUUCUGUGAGUGUAUUAAAGAAAGAUAACCACUCUCUGACUACUCUUGCUGCCACUUCUUACGGCUAGUUAAGGGAAGGUACCAGAGACCAGGUGUCCUCGACAAGUGAUCCCCAACUCUUUGGCUGUAGAGAUCCGUUUCAUGGAAGACCAUUUUUUCCAUGGAUGGGGGAGGGUAGUUUGAGGAUGAUUCAAGCCCAUUACAUUUACUGUGCAUUUUAUCUCUAUUAUUACAUCAGCUACACCUCAGAUAAUCAGGCAUUAGAUUCUGCAGGUUGGGGUCCCCUGUCUUAAACUGCUAGUUCUGAGUAAUUACCCUGAAGCUUCAGUUGGUCUUUUUUAUGGCAAGAGAAAAAGAAUCAAAUCACACGAUUUAUGUAAGUUAUAAGCAGUGUGCUCCCUGUGGGCCAACUUCCUCUCCUCUCUUCCCCUAAGAGUGGAACAAGUCUUAAAGCACAGCUACUGCUCAGCAAUAUAGUCCCCGGAGCUCACCACUGCCUGAGGGGCCAUCAGGUAGGCACCGGUGUGUGAUGGCUCACCAGCCGCCCUUGUGAGGGUCCUCAAAAUGGCCUCUGCUCUCUGAGACAACAAAAGCUAGUCCGAGCACAAAUCCACCAAGGACUAAAGGCAACCAGGAAAGCUAUCUUCAACCUGGGGCUCAGUGGGCAAUGGUAAGCCAUUAUAAUAUCAUUCUCUGGUCUCCUGUCUGUCAGUUCUGUACCCACUGGGCCUUUGGGGAAAAUGGUCCCCCCCACCAUUGAUUUUCUUGCUCUGCCUAAGAGUUUUCAUACAAAAGCUUCAGUUUCCAGGCAAACAAAUAAAUAACAUCAAGACAGAAAACUUAGUGAGCUGGAAUUGGCAGUCUUGUUGACCUCUAAGAGCCCAGGUUCUGCUUGGUAGCUUGUAAUGUCCCAUGCUUUUUUCUGAGUUUAUUUGCAUUAUCAUAAUGGUUAUUUGGUGAGAGUAGGGGUGGGGCCAAAUCUGCUGGGCACACUCAGUCUCUGGACCCCGGCCAGCCUGUGCUCAGCCGGCAGCAUCCAGGUNNNNNNNNNNNNNNNNNNNNNNNNNNNNNNNNNNNNNNNNNNNNNNNNNNNNNNNNNNNNNNNNNNNNNNNNNNNNNNNNNNNAAAGCUUUCUACUUAAACACAUGCCUCUGACAACCUUCUUCCUACCAAUGGUUUGUGCAAGCAGAACGGCAAGCACCCCUCCCCUUCCUGCCCCAUGGUACAGGCAUACACAUUUUCCCAUCCUGUCCAAGCUCCUUGGCCCCUGGGUUCCCACCCCAGCAAAUCCUCCCAGCAGACUGUUUAAAUGAACUGUCAUCCUUGUCACAUUGCUCAGACAGGGAACCUCUACCCGCUGGACUGGAGACACACGGGUGUUCCAAAGUUUGGCACAAAACCUUGUAAAAUGAGGCCAAGUUUGCAUCUCCUUGACUUUAUAUAUUCUAUUUGGAUAUCUUCCUCUCUCCCCCACUGACCCCCCAAAUGGAAUACUGCUGAAGAGACCAUCUGCCACAAAGGCCCAUACCCAGUGAUCAAAAUAUUUUAGCUUCUUUCCCAGCUUGGUGUCAGUGACAAAAAUGUGUGAGGCUUGCAAACUGGCNNNNNNNNNNNGAAGCUUCUUUAAAAGCCAGGUGAUAUCCCCAUCCUAUUUGGCUCAGCCAGUCAUACCCAGAAGACAUUGUGCUUUAUGGUAAAUUUCUCUUCAUCGGACAAAACCCAAGUCUAAAUAGGAAAGGAUUUGAGGAAGGGCACAGCUGUGGUCUUAUGCAUUGCCAUAUUAUCUCAAACAGAUGUAGACUGAACAAAUGACAAAUAAUAGCUCUGGUAAGCCCAC
rnacentral:lncRNA from 1 species